rnacentral:lncRNA from 1 species
UGCAACAUGCAAAGUAGGGGCUUUGUCUGAGAAAUCAAUGGAGGCACACAGGACAGGGAAGAAGCAUAUGGCUCGGCUCCAGGAACUCAAUGACCGGGUCAUUGCUACUUCAACCGCUAAGGUUGAGAGCACUCCAACUAUUAAUGAAACGCCAAAAGAUGUCGAAAACACUUAAGUGGCCGAUGAUGUGGGUGCAACUGUCAAUAAAAUUAACCCCAAGGAACAAGAAGAAGUGUUCACCACAGGGG